rnacentral:rRNA from 1 species
UGGGGAAUUUUGGACAAUGGGGGCAACCCUGAUCCAGCGAUGCCGCGUGUGUGAAGAAGGCCUUCGGGUUGUAAAGCACUUUUAGUGGGGAAGAAAGGUUCGAGGCUAAUACCCUCGAACGUUGACAUUAUCCACAGAAAAAGCACCGGCUAACUCUGUGCCAGCAGCCGCGGUAAUACAGAGGGUGCUAGCGUUAAUCGGAAUUACUGGGCGUAAAGCGCAUGUAGGUGGGUAUUUAAGUCGGAUGUGAAAGCCCCGGGCUCAACCUGGGAAUCGCAUUCGAUACUGAAUAUCUAGAGUAUGAUAGAGGGUAGUGGAAUUUCCGGUGUAGCGGUGAAAUGCGUAGAUAUCGGAAGGAACAUCAGUGGCGAAGGCGGCUACCUGGAUUAAUACUGACACUAAAGUGCGAAAGCGUGGGGAGCAAACAGGAUUAGAUACCCCCGUAGUCC